GAUGAACGCUAGCUACAGGCUUAACACAUGCAAGUCGAGGGGUAACAAGAGAAAAGCUUGCUUUUCUUGUUGACGACCGGCGCACGGGUGAGUAACGCGUAUCCAACCUGCCUAUAACUAGGGAAUAACCUUGCGAAAGUAAGACUAAUACCCUAUGAUUUCCUUUGAUGACAUCAGAUUAGGAAUAAAGAUUUAUCGGUUAUAGAUGGGGAUGCGUCUGAUUAGCUUGUUGGCGGGGUAACGGCCCACCAAGGCAACGAUCAGUAGGGGUUCUGAGAGGAAGGUCCCCCACAUUGGAACUGAGACACGGUCCAAACUCCUACGGGAGGCAGCAGUGAGGAAUAUUGGUCAAUGGGCGGAAGCCUGAACCAGCCAAGUAGCGUGCAGGAUGACGGCCCUAUGGGUUGUAAACUGCUUUUAUACAGGAAUAAAGUUAGCCACGUGUGGUUAUUUGUAGGUACUGUAUGAAUAAGGACCGGCUAAUUCCGUGCCAGCCGCCGCCGUAA
rnacentral:rRNA from 1 species